GACGAACGCUGGCGGCGUGCUUAACACAUGCAAGUCGAACGGAAAGGCCCUGCUUUUGUGGGGUGCUCGAGUGGCGAACGGGUGAGUAACACGUGAGUAACCUGCCCUUGACUUUGGGAUAACUUCAGGAAACUGGGGCUAAUACCGGAUAGGAGCUCCUGCUGCAUGGUGGGGGUUGGAAAGUUUCGGCGGUUGGGGAUGGACUCGCGGCUUAUCAGCUUGUCGGUGGGGUAGUGGCUUACCAAGGCUUUGACGGGUAGCCGGCCUGAGAGGGUGACCGGCCACAUUGGGGCUGGGAUACGGGCCAGACUCCUACGGGAGGCAGCAGUGGGGAAUAUUGCACAAUGGGCGGAAGCCUGAUGCAGCAACGCCGCGGGCGGGAUGACGGCCUUCGGGUUGUAAACCGCUUUCGCCUGGGACGAAGCGGGAAUGACGGUAAUGGGUAAAGGAGCACCGGCUAACUACGUG
rnacentral:rRNA from 1 species